ensembl:lncRNA
ACCCACUCCAAUGAUCUGUAUGAUUAAAAGAAAUAACACGUAAUAAAUAUAGAAAUGUGUAGAUUAUGUGAAGGGGGUGCUAACAUUUUUUUAAACCCUGUAGAAAUGCCAUAUCUUGUGAAGAAGACACUAUAGUAUGCACUCUAGAUUGCAUCCAGCUUAACUUAGUCAUUAAUGAUGGGAAAAUGGGCAGCCACGGAGAAGACUCUGUGAAAUUGUUUUCAACGGUAAUUACGAGAGGGCUGUUGGCCUUUCAAAAACAUCGCACCGGUUUGAGAUAGGGACUUGACAGAUAGGAUCCUGGUUCUCUGGCCAAGCCAAGUGAAGGUCUUGCUGGCACCUGCGACGCAUUCGGCUCCAGUUGGAAACGUUUAGCGCGGAAACGCUGCUCUUUUGAUCAGAGCCUCUCACUCUCUCCUCGUCUGCUUUGAGGCUGAUCGGCUGUCCAACUGUUUACCUCCGAGGCCGCCGUCUGAAGGCAAUUGUGCGAGCAACUUUUUUUUCUUUCUUUUUUUUUGAAAAGCUCAAGCACUUUUUCUGCCAAGGAGAACUUCAACUUUUAAUGGAUCCCUGGCAGGAGUUGCGUUUGCCGGGAAAAGGCUUUGCAAAGUAACAGGUUGAAAUGUCACCACCUGCUCCGCUCCGAAACGCGAUCGCUGCUGCGCUACCUCUCCCUUCCGCCUGAUGCCUUUGCUGCACAUCAAAGCCGAAGCGGAUUCGUGGUUGUUUUUUAGGUUAAAACGCAGUGUUGGAACACAGUCCUUGUAAGUGCACUCAUUAAGGUGUACUGUAAAAUUGGACGUUGCCAUACGAUGCUGUAAAUGUGUUUAUUUAUUUUAUUUAUAGUUUGUUGCAAUAGGAAUCAGCCUUGCAUCAGCAUAUAUCAGAUGCCUUGUACAACGCCAUCUCUUGAGUGAGGUCUCAGAGAAUGUCAGUUAGAUACAUCGUAUUUUUAGAUUGAAAUGUCACUGUAUUUUGAAUGCAAAUAAGAGGUGAUUUUUGACAAGACAUGC